GAGUGGCAGACGGGUGAGUAACGCGUGGUUAUAUACCCUUCCCUGCGGAAUAGCUCCGGGAAACUGGAAUUAAUACCGCAUACGCCCUACGGGGGAAAGAUUUAUCGGGGAAGGAUGGGCCCGCGUUGGAUUAGCUAGUUGGUGGGGUAAAGGCCUACCAAGGCGACGAUCCAUAGCUGGUCUGAGAGGAUGAUCAGCCACAUUGGGACUGAGACACGGCCCAAACUCCUACGGGAGGCAGCAGUGGGGAAUAUUGGACAAUGGGCGCAAGCCUGAUCCAGCCAUGCCGCGUGAGUGAUGAAGGCCUUAGGGUUGUAAAGCUCUUUCACCGGAGAAGAUAAUGACGGUAUCCGGAGAAGAAGCCCCGGCUAACUUCGUGCCAGCAGCCGCGGUAAUACGAAGGGGGCUAGCGUUGUUCGGAAUUACUGGGCGUAAAGCGCACGUAGGCGGAUAUUUAAGUCAGGGGUGAAAUCCCAGAGCUCAACUCUGGAACUGCCUUUUAUACUGGUAUCUGGAGUAUGGAAGAGUUAAGUGUAAUUCCGAGUGUAGAGGUGACAUUCGUAGAUAUUCGGAGGAACACCAGUGGCGAAGGCGGCUUACUUGUCCCCUACUGACGCUGAGGUGCGAAACCGUGGGGAGCAAACAGGAUUAGAUACCCUGGUAGUCCACGCCGUAUACGAUGAAUGUAGCCGUUCGGGCAGUAUACUGUU
rnacentral:rRNA from 1 species